UAAUGAAAUUAAACCUGGAAGCAAAAACUAAACUUAUUCCUCACCGAUUUCCAUCUUCUUCCCCCGAUCCCUAACGCCUUCCCCUUCUCUCGAUUCUUUCCUCUUCCCCCAUCUCCGCCGCACUCCUUUUCCCCUCCUCGUGCCACCACCCAAAGUGCAAAUCGGCGCCAACCGAUCACCGACCAUGUUUCCCUUCUCUUCAUCUCAUCGCCAACACAAACAACUUGCGGAGCAUCCCGAUUCCUUCUUCAUUUGCUCGACCACGACCUCUUCCCCCUUGCUCUUCUCUCUGCAUCACCAUCGACUAUCACUGCCUGACGUCGACUGCCAGCCACCCGAGUGCCACUUGAUCUCCUCUCUCCUGGUCGCAGACACCAUGUGCUCGUCGGAAGCCAAGCAUCUGAUCCCAUGUCUUCAGCCGAGUCCUAGAUGUCGACCCCCAACCGACCGAGCGUGAUGGAUCUCUACUAGAAUUUGUUAGUCACAUCGGAUCUCUGCUCGACAUCGCGUCUCCGAUCUUAGGGUUAAUCUACUAGGGUCGACCUCUUCCUCCUCUGCUCUACAUCGUUGCUCGAUUUUGCCGGAUCCCUACUUUGUGUCACCGUACGAUCGCAUCAGGUUCCGGUUAGCCAUUGCCGAUUGAUUGUGCUAGCGCCACAUGGUUGUCGUUCUCUUCUUUUCCUUGGCUUGACACCACAACAGCCACCACCAAUCUCGUGGCCCUGAUUUUAUGUCACCACCGAAGCUCCUACAUCCUCCAUUCCACUGGUGACACAGAUUAUCGCCUAGUUGCCAGAAGUGGGUUCUCCACAUGAAUUGAAUCUGUUGGCACAGAUAUGGGGUGCUAGAUUUGGAGACUAUCAAAUUUUCUAGCUCUGGCCAUAUUUUACUAGCAGCGGGUGCUCCGUCGGUGAGUUAACAGCGAUGUACAUGGAUAUAGAUUGACACAGGUACACGGGAGAUACUGCCGAAUUUUCCUCUGGCAAAGACUCCUAUGGGGUGUGACAACAAAUUAGAGAAGAACAAGUCUAUUGGACGACGGUGAAAAAGGGAGGACAAUAACACACGACGACUAAUGAAGCACUUGGAGAAGAUGCUUUGACCUAGGUUGACCUUACGAUCUUCUCAUUAGCUUGAGAGGAUCAUAGAAAAUGGUGCCAUAACCAUGUAAUGUUUUAUUUUUGCUUACAUGUGAUGUAUGCCAUGAUAUGCUAUGAUUGUAUGUGAUGCAUAUGUAGUUUAAUCAUAAUUAGGUCUCUUUUAAAUA